UUUCCGUAGGUGAACCUGCGGAAGGAUCAUUCAUAAUAAAGUGUUUUAUGGCACUUUUUAAAAACCCAUAUCCACCUUGUGUGCAAUGUUAGAUCUCGUCAAUCUUGGCGAGAUUUUUAUACAUCAACUCAUUCUUUAACUAAUUUGUCUGAAAAAUAUUAUGAAUACUUAAUUCAAAAUACAACUUUCAACAACGGAUCUCUUGGCUCUC
rnacentral:misc_RNA from 1 species